AACUUUACAAUGCGGGAAACCGUGAUAAGGGGACACCGAGUGCCAGCAUCAUAUGCUGGCUGUCCAGGUGUGUAAAAUACACCUGUUAGCAAGGGCCGGGCAAGACCGGUGCCAGCCGCCGCGGUAACACCGGCGGCCCGAGUGGUGAUCGUGAUUAUCGGGUCUAAAGGGUCCGUAGCCGGUUUGGUCAGUCCUCCGGGAAAUCUGAUAGCUCAACUAUUAGGCUUUCGGGGGAUACUGCCAGACUUGGAACCGGGAGAGGUAAGAGGUACUACAGGGGUAGGAGUGAAAUCUUGUAAUCCCUGUGGGACCACCUGUGGCGAAGGCGUCUUACCAGAACGGGUUCGACGGUGAGGGACGAAAGCUGGGGGCACGAACCGGAUUAGAUACCCGGGUAGUCCCAGCCGUAAACGAUGCUCGCUAGGUGUCAGACAUGGCGCGACCGUGUCUGGUGCCGCAGGGAAGCCGUGAAGCGAGCCACCUGGGAAGUACGGCCGCAAGGCUGAAACUUAA
rnacentral:rRNA from 1 species